UCGCAGCCGCACACCUCUGAAGUCGGCAGAAUGCGGGCUGCGGGAUGGACUUCGCUGCCCCGCGUUCCCCGCUAAUAUUACCUAUUGCCCCGCUCUUUUGCAUCGCGAACGCUCUCAAACCGCCUGGUGUUCCCGAGUCUUCUACCGAAGCCCUGCGCCUUUUCUUCCUCGACAACCAGGAAAGGAGCAGCCUCUCUCAGUGUAUGGGAAUGAUUUUAACCCUUAUUGGAGCAUGAUAUUGCCCUUUUCCUAUGUCAUUAUGUCCGGUGCAAUCGGAUCCUGCCCAGUUUUAUUUGCAAAGUCACUGCAUUACCUUGUUGGCGUCCGGACGAUGUUAAAGGCGGCAAUCGAGGAUUUUUCAAUCUUAUUUCUAUGCUUUUAUUCUGCUUAAUUCUCACUAGUUCUUCAAGCGGUAGUUCAUCCACAUUAACACAGGAGACUGAAACAAGUUUAUUUAAAUCAUCCACACUUGCAAUUUUGGAGAAUGCAAGGACUUUCUUUGCAAAAGCAAAGGCUACAUGCUCUUUAUUAGUUGGUCUAAGUGAAGAAUCAAUUGAUGCACCUUCAGUGCUUGUAAUGCCUAUGGUGUCUGUGAGAACAACGGGCUUCAGGCCGAACAUUUUCGAUCGUGCAAAGUUUGGUCUUUUAAGAACUGCUAGUUAGAAUGGCCUACAGCUAUUAGUCGAGCCCUGGUCAUCCCUAAUGUGCCUAGAAUUCGAGUAGCACCUCCAUAGAGCGCACAGUCAUCUAGAGGGAAUUCGAACUCUCGAUCCGAGAAGACUUACAAUUGACUCGCAGAUGCCAACCAACAAGUGGGGUUC